rnacentral:pre_miRNA from 1 species
AACCUUUACAGGCUGGCCAGCCCUGAGGCUGGGUUAGGUACAUAGCUCCUAGAAAGGCUCACCCUCAAGCAUGACUAGGAGC